UAGGAAGCUUGCUUUCUGCCGCCGGCGACCGGCGCACGGGUGAGUAACACGUAUGCAACCUGGCCGUGACAGAUGGAUAACCGGGAGAAAUCCCGCCUAAUACAACAUAAUGCCGGGAGGGGACAUCCCCUGCCGGCCAAAGGGGGCGACCCCGGUCAUGGAUGGGCAUGCGGCGCAUUAGGUAGUUGGUGGGGCAACGGCCCACCAAGCCGACGAUGCGUAGGGGUUCUGAGAGGAAGGUCCCCCACAUUGGAACUGAGACACGGUCCAAACUCCUACGGGAGGCAGCAGUGAGGAAUAUUGGUCAAUGGCCGGAAGGCUGAACCAGCCAAGUCGCGUGAGGGAAUAAGGCCCUACGGGUCGUAAACCUCUUUUGCCAGGGAGCAAUGCCGUCCACGUGUGGACGGAAGGAGAGUACCUGGAGAAAAAGCAUCGGCUAACUCCGUGCCAGCAGCCGCGGUAAUACGGAGGAUGCGAGCGUUAUCCGGAUUUAUUGGGUUUAAAGGGUGCGUAGGCGGCCUGCCAAGUCAGCGGUAAAAUUGCGGGGCUCAACCCCGUACAGCCGUUGAAACUGCCGGGCUCGAGUGGGCGAGAAGUAUGCGGAAUGCGUGGUGUAGCGGUGAAAUGCAUAGACAUCACGCAGAACCCCGAUUGCGAAGGCAGCAUACCGGCGCCCGACU
rnacentral:rRNA from 1 species